UCCCAAGCCAACGACUUUAAUUGGCUUAAGCUAUAUCACGAGCAACGUUGCUGCUUGAUCAACGGAGAGGAGCAUCUCAAAGUAUAGGGCAAAAUUGGUUCUAUUAGCUAAAUAUUUGAGCAUUCGAUUUAUCAAAUAAAAAAAGUUAUUGCAUAAAAAUUUAUUUUUUAAUAACAUCAAAUGGAUAUAAAGGCCUGCCA
rnacentral:lncRNA from 1 species